rnacentral:lncRNA from 1 species
UUAAGUUGGCGAUAAGGUUAUUAAAUUCGUUAGGAUUUAAAUUAAAAAACGUUUAAAACUGUUUGAAAAUUUAAUUUCAUCAUUGAACACUUUUAUAUUGGUUUUAUCUUCAUCAUGGUUGUAGGAGAUAUCAUGGAGAAUAUUCUCUAAUUUCUCCUUUGGCAGGUCGAAGCACGAUGCCCUUGGCCGAAGGAGUGUAAUUGUUUUCCCAUAAAGAUUUAUUUAAAACUCUUCCAAAUAAGAAAAAAGCAUUCACCGAUAAGUAGCACAGCAAUAUGGCCAGGAUUUUUUUAGCAACUGAGAAUUUCGAAUAGAAUUGGUAAACCCAUUUUCCGGUUACGUGUUUAAUUGUAAGAACCCAUAUGGUAUAUAAAAGAAUAUACGCGAAAAUAAUUAUGGCACAAUACGAUGCGUUCGGAGACGGACAUUUACAUAUCACGAUGUCGAUGAUUUGUAAAAUUAUCUCGUUGGUCGUACAUAUGUGCACUAGCCAUAGAGGAAGCUUUUCUUGCCCGUUGUAAUAAUAUUGACUGGCUGCCACCGAGAUGUAAAAGAGCCAAAAAGUACACCCUGAGCUGAUUGUUAAGGGAAACGUCACACUGGAUCUCAUGUAACCUUGAAAUUUCGCCAAAUUCUUCGGAGUGUCAGGAAGUUUUUUAACUAUCCUCAAAAUAUCCAUGGACAACGCAAACGCACAGUAGAUCAUCUGUAAAGUAUUACACCAAGUCACGAGAUAUUUGAAACUGUAGCCGAAUCUAUCGAAAUAGGAGUUGGCCAUCUUGUAAGACACCCUGAAAUGUACGAAGACCGCCGUCGACGAAUUGAUCGUAGCAACGGUGUGAAGAAUUGUGGACAGAACGAGGUAAACUUUUGGAUGCCGUUCUGCAUAUUCAACUUCCAUCCUUCGAAACAAUGGAGAAUUUCAAAGACUUCCAAACAUUACAACACAUUACAACAACUGCUUUUUAUUCCAAAAAUAAAAACAUCUGAUAUGUAAUCAAUUUUCAAAGUUGUAAUAAUAAAUAGGUUUAAUUGAUUUUUAAGAUAGAUACAAAACGAAUUGUUAUAUUAUCAAGCGACCUCUAGAAACACUUUUUCUCUAAAUCGAAUAAAAUCUACCCGCAUGACUUGCCAGACUCGCGUAUGUGAUAGGCCUUCGCGUCGUUAAGUCUAACGAAUUACUACCGCAACAGACCCAAGAUUCUGAAUGGACUCCUGAAAGAGCACUGCCGCCUAAGAGGGACAGGUACCUGAUUACAGUAGACAGAAGAAACAGUGUGCAGAUUUGCCUGAAAGAGGAGGAGGCCGCAGAACAUUUUAUGCGAAGGUGUAGAUUAAAUUUGUAGAUUCUUGUAACUAGGAGAGGAAAGCCACAAGCAAGAUCCUACACUAAAGAACCGCUCGCAAAGCUAUGCAUGUGGAUUUACUUUAUCAUUUUUUCGUAUACUUUAUCAUCUACUUUACUUAAUAUCAUGCAUUAAAACAAAGUUGUCUUCAAUAAAUAGAGCGAAUGGGACCACAGCUUUUAGAAGAAUUCAACUCAAUGACAGUCUAGCAUCCAUUCUGUAUGAUGAUCAGUUCGGUACGGAUAUGAACGUUCAUUCCACCCCAUGUCAUAACUGACUGUUUUUGAAAAGACUGUGACUCACGCUUGGCGCAUGAAGCAAAGCGUUCUCCACACACGGGUUCAUAUUGCCCCAAACCAAACAAGCAUUCAUCAUUGAAGAGAACAGCCACCCCAUUCCCCAUUAAUCAGAUAUACAAGCGAGACGCUAAUUUGCGAAUAGUCGCCUUUCUAUUUGAUGCCUCUCCACUAGUAAAGAAUCUGAUGCGGGACGUCUAGAGACUAGGCUAUUCUCAUGAAGCUUUCUUUCGGUUUUAAACUCACCCUCACAUUACGGACCGUUUAGAGUUGACUACCUAACAAGGAGGCAAUUAAAUUACAGCUCCUUAGUGAGAUGAAUAGCAAUAAAACGAUCGUUUCUAGCCGUCUUACAUCACGAUUGACCAAGACCCCUACGGUGGCUCUAAACCUUUGUAGAGCGGGGCAAACAAACCUUGGGCUAUGUAACGGUCGCUACGCGACUUGAUCAAAGCAUCUGUCCGGGAGAAAUCUCGACUUAAAAACCAUGCGUUUAAGUUUAAAUAAAAA